rnacentral:tRNA from 2 species
UCCCUCGUGGCGCAAUUGGCUAGCGCGUUAGACUGUUAAUCUAAAGGUUGGUGGUUCGAGCCCACCCGAGGGAG